rnacentral:rRNA from 1 species
UACGGGGGGGGCAAGCGUUGUUCGGAAUUACUGGGCGUAAAGGGCUCGUAGGCGGCCAACUAAGUCGGACGUGAAAUCCCUCGGCUUAACCGGGGAACUGCGUCUGAUACUGGAUGGCUUGAGGUUGGGAGAGGGAUGCGGAAUUCCAGGUGUAGCGGUGAAAUGCGUAGAUAUCUGGAGGAACACCGGUGGCGAAGGCGGCAGCCUGGACCAAUUCUGACGCUGAGGAGCGAAAGCCAGGGGAGCAAACGGG